GACGAAUGCUGGCGGCGUGCUUAACACAUGCAAGUCGAGCGAGAAACUUCGGUUUCUAGCGGCGGACGGGUGAGUAACACGUGGGCAACCUGCCUCACAAUGGGGGAUAGCCUUCCGAAAGGAAGAUUAAUACCGCAUAACACAAAGGAAACGCAUGUUUCUUUUGCCAAAGAAUUUCGUUGUGAGAUGGGCCCGCGGCGCAUUAGCUUGUUGGUGAGGUAACGGCUCACCAAGGCGACGAUGCGUAGCCGACCUGAGAGGGUGAUCGGCCACAUUGAAACGGAGACACGGCCGAGACCCCUAGGGGAGGAAGGGGGGGGAAGUAUUAAACAAAGGAGAAAACUUUGAUGCAGCAGCGCCGUGUGAGUGAUGAAGGUCUUCGGAUUGUAAAACUCUGUCUUCGGGGAAGAUAAGGAGGGUACAAGAGGAGAAAGCCACGGCUAACUACGUCCCACCCGCCGAAGUAA
rnacentral:rRNA from 1 species